UACGGAGGGUGUAAGCGUUAUCCGGAAUCACUGGGUUUAAAGGGUGCGUAGGCGGCCAAAUAAGUCAGAGGUGAAAGCUUGCAGCUUAACUGCGAAAUUGCCUUUGAUACUGUAUAGCUUGAAAGGAGCUGAGGUCAGCAGAAUGUGGCAUGUAGCGGUGAAAUGCAUAGAUAUGCCAUAGAAUACCAAUUGCGAAGGCAGCUGGCUGGGCUUACUUUGACGCUGGGGCACGAAAGCGUGGGGAUCGAACAGG
rnacentral:rRNA from 1 species